AUGAAUGUUUGUUACAUUGGUGCCGAAACCCGGGAGGAGGAAGGGACACACUGUCAGAGAGAGAUUGGGCAGCAGGAAGAAGCGGAGACUGCUGGUGGCUGCCCGAGGCGAUGGUGCUGGUACGAUGGAAGACAAGGUGGGACAGAGGGCUCGUUGCCAUGCUCUUGGGUUGAGGAGGGGUGGCUGCCAUCCAAGAGGGAGCGGAGGAGUCGGCACCAUUUGCCAGGAGGCCGGAGCCUGCUGCCGUCCGCCAUGAUUGGGGAGAAGGGAACGGGAGACUCAUUUCCAGCUGCCCUUAACAGGAGGAGCCAUUGCCUUCCACCAGGAGGCAAAGGAGCUUCGAGCUGUCCACAAUAUGUCCAGUACCACCGCAUGGCACCGGCAUCCAAGAUGUAGGUGACUUUUCUUCAGUAGAUGUGCCACCUAUCUCACCAGUGGACCAUUGACAAUCCUAAAUGAGAUUGUAGAUAGAGUGUUAAUGGACCAUUUGAGGAUUAGGUGGUGGCAAUGCAUUAUAAGUCAGCGAUCCGCCGUAAAGCAACAAGAAGAUGAUGAUGUCUCAGGUGCCUGCUGCUGUGAAGCGCAUUCACAAGAGUUCUAACAGUUCGGACAUUGUGUGAAUCAGAGGUAAAAAAAAAAAAAACUAUAUAAAUACUGUUCAGUUUCUUGCACAGACCGAUCGUUCUGUGCUCUUUCUCUCUCAUAGAUUCUGUUACCAUUUGCCAAGCAUUGUACUGCUGAGAGACUGCAACGCCUGAAGCUAAAAAUCAUAAUUUGUGUUCUGCUGAAGAAACAAAGUCACCUACAUCUUGGAUGCCCUGGAGGUAAGCAGAUAAACAUUAAAUUUUCAUUUUUGGGUGAACUAUUGCUUUAAGUAAACCAGUUAAUGUUAGGCCUUUUUUCAGUGUACAGAAUCAUGUGGCAAUUAUUUCCCAUUAAACUUGAGAGUGCUGACGUAAAUUUUAAGUUUAUUUUCUUCGGAAUAAAGGUGUCAAAGUAAAAUUGAAUUAAAAAUGC
ensembl:lncRNA